rnacentral:rRNA from 1 species
UACGUAGGAUCCGAGCGUUGUCCGGAUUUACUGGGUGUAAAGGGUGCGCAGGCGGGCUGGUGAGUCUGGGGUGAAAUCUCGCCGCUUAACGGCGAAACUGCCUUAGAUACUAUCAGUCUUGAAUCAGCGAGAGGUUCGUGGAAUUCCGAGUGUAGCAGUGAAAUGUGUAGAUAUUCGGAAGAACACCAGUGGCGAAGGCAGCGAACUGGCGCUCGAUUGACGCUCAGGCACGAAAGCGUGGGUAGCAAACAGG